AUGGCGGCGGCACUGCAGAUGCCUAGUACGACGACUACGGCGUCGGCUUGCGUCCCAGAUACGGCGCGGGGCACGCACGUGUUCACCAUCGCCGGCUACAGGCUGCACAAGGGCCUCGGCGCCGGCAAAUUCAUCCGAUCCGCCACCUUUGCCGUCGGCGGCUAUGACUGGUGCAUCCGGUACUACCCAGACGGAGACCUAAACCAGAAGGACCACGUCUCGGUCUGCGUCGAGCUCCAGAGCAAGAACUCCGUGGUGAGGGCGCUCUACGACCUGAGGCUGAUCAACCGGGCCACCGGGCUGUCGUCGUUGAUCUUCUCCCGGCCAUCGUCCCUCCCGGCGUUCGACUCCUUGAAGAACGAUCAUGUCAGGGGUGCUUACAAGUUCAUGAAGAUCGACCUCCUGGAGGCAUCCCCGUACCUGCAGGAUGACUGCCUUGUGAUCCAGUGCGACAUUACCGUUCUCCUCAAGGAAAUACCGGCCGUGGCGACAGUUGCCAAGCCACCUGAGAUUCAGGUAACACCGUCAGACUUGUCGAACAAUCUUGCGAAACUGCUGGAAGGGAACAAAGGAGCGGACAUGACGAUCAAGGUUAACGGUGAGGUCUUCCAUGCGCAUAAGAUUGUGCUCGCGAUGCGGUCUCCCGUCUUCGACGCUCAGCUCUACGGGCCAAUGGGGACAGCGAGAAACAGUGCAUACAGAUUGAGGACAUGCAGCCAGCUGUUUUCAAAGCAUUGCUUCACUUCAUGUAUACAGAUUCAUUGCCUGUCAUGCACGACCUUGACAACCAUGACAACAAGGAGAUGA
rnacentral:rRNA from 1 species